rnacentral:rRNA from 1 species
UACGUAGGGUGCAAGCGUUAUCCGGAAUUAUUGGGCGUAAAGAGCUCGUAGGCGGUUUGUCGCGUCUGCUGUGAAAACUGGAGGCUCAACCUCCAGCCUGCAGUGGUACGGGCAAACUAGAGUGCGGUAGGGGAGAUUGGAAUCCUGGUGUAGCGGUGGAAUGCGCAGAUAUCAGGAGGAACACCGAUGGCGAAGGCAGGUCUCUGGGCCACUACUGACGCUGAGAAGCGAAAGCAUGGGGAGCAAACAGG